rfam:Lingula anatina scaffold1866, whole genome shotgun sequence.
GUCUUCACUACGGUGAGACAUAUAUUAAAAUUGGAACGAUACAGAGAAGAUUAGCAUGGCCCCUGGCGCAAGGAUGACACGCACAUUCGUGAAGCGUUCCAUAUUUUU